AAUUAACCUAGUAGAUAAUCUAGAAAAUACUGGUGUUUCAUUAAUUCGACAAGCUGCCUCAAAAACUAA
rnacentral:tRNA from 1 species